AGAGUUUGAUCCUGGCUCAGGACGAACGCUGGCGGCGUGCCUAAUACAUGCAAGUCGAACGCUUCUUUCCUCCCGAGUGCUUGCACUCAAUUGGAAAGAGGAGUGGCGGACGGGUGAGUAACACGUGGGUAACCUACCCAUCAGAAGGGGAUAACACUUGGAAACAGGUGCUAAUACCGUAUAACAAUCGAAACCGCAUGGUUUUGAUUUGAAAGGCGCUUUCGGGUGUCGCUGAUGGAUGGACCCGCGGUGCAUUAGCUAGUUGGUGAGGUAACGGCUCACCAAGGCCACGAUGCAUAGCCGACCUGAGAGGGUGAUCGGCCACAUUGGGACUGAGACACGGCCCAAACUCCUACGGGAGGCAGCAGUAGGGAAUCUUCGGCAAUGGACGAAAGUCUGACCGAGCAACGCCGCGUGAGUGAAGAAGGUUUUCGGAUCGUAAAACUCUGUUGUUAGAGAAGAACAAGGAUGAGAGUAACUGUUCAUCCCUUGACGGUAUCUAACCAGAAAGCCACGGCUAACUACGUGCCAGCAGCCGCGGUAAUACGUAGGUGGCAAGCGUUGUCCGGAUUUAUUGGGCGUAAAGCGAGCGCAGGCGGUUUCUUAAGUCUGAUGUGAAAGCCCCCGGCUCAACCGGGGAGGGUCAUUGGAAACUGGGAGACUUGAGUGCAGAAGAGGAGAGUGGAAUUCCAUGUGUAGCGGUGAAAUGCGUAGAUAUAUGGAGGAACACCAGUGGCGAAGGCGGCUCUCUGGUCUGUAACUGACGCUGAGGCUCGAAAGCGUGGGGAGCAAACAGGAUUAGAUACCCUGGUAGUCCACGCCGUAAACGAUGAGUGCUAAGUGUUGGAGGGUUUCCGCCCUUCAGUGCUGCAGCUAACGCAUUAAGCACUCCGCCUGGGGAGUACGACCGCAAGGUUGAAACUCAAAGGAAUUGACGGGGGCCCGCACAAGCGGUGGAGCAUGUGGUUUAAUUCGAAGCAACGCGAAGAACCUUACCAGGUCUUGACAUCCUUUGACCACUCUAGAGAUAGAGCUUCCCCUUCGGGGGCAAAGUGACAGGUGGUGCAUGGUUGUCGUCAGCUCGUGUCGUGAGAUGUUGGGUUAAGUCCCGCAACGAGCGCAACCCUUAUUGUUAGUUGCCAUCAUUCAGUUGGGCACUCUAGCAAGACUGCCGGUGACAAACCGGAGGAAGGUGGGGAUGACGUCAAAUCAUCAUGCCCCUUAUGACCUGGGCUACACACGUGCUACAAUGGGAAGUACAACGAGUCGCGAAGUCGCGAGGCUAAGCUAAUCUCUUAAAGCUUCUCUCAGUUCGGAUUGCAGGCUGCAACUCGCCUGCAUGAAGCCGGAAUCGCUAGUAAUCGCGGAUCAGCACGCCGCGGUGAAUACGUUCCCGGGCCUUGUACACACCGCCCGUCACACCACGAGAGUUUGUAACACCCGAAGUCGGUGAGGUAACCUUUUGGAGCCAGCCGCCUAAGGUGGGAUAGAUGAUUGGGGUGAAGUCGUAACAAGGUAGCCGUAUCGGAAGGUGCGGCUGGAUCACCU
rnacentral:rRNA from 1 species